UUGUGUUUGGGGUAUGUAUGCUUGUUUUUAUUUUUAUUAUUGAUUUUAUUAUUAUUUUAUUAUUUCUAAAAAUGUUUAUCCUGUUUUUAAUACAAUUUCUUUAUAUUCACCUCAUGGGAAGGGGGCCUGAUUUUCUUUGUAUCAGAUCUCUAGACAAAAGAAGUGAAGUGUUGAUCCUGCAAGUUGCUGCUUGUGCUGGCAGGUGAGUGAAUACGCUGCAGCUGGUGGAGAGCCCAAGCUUGCUGCUUCCCACGCCCAUUCCUGAGUUGCAAGGAAGAAACCUCCCCAGAAGCUGGAAGGAAUCCAGAGACAUGGACAAACCCACAGCUGCUCCCUGGAGAGAGCACUUAUUAGGAGAAGCUGGGCUGCUGAGAACAAAGUCAUCACAGAGGGCACCCAAUUCUGUCAGGAGGAGCCAGGGUCGGGGAACAGUUUAUAACUAAUUCUACCAAAAGACACCUGGGGGAUCAAGGGGCUGGACUCUUCUGCUGUCAGAAGUUCCAUUUCUGCAGGAUCAGAUUUGGAUGAUGUUUGGUGUGUCUCUUCUUGGGCUCUGUAUCAGAGGGACUCAUUCCAGGACCCCCGGAGAUACCAAAACCCACAGAUGCUCAAGUCCCUUAUAUAAAAUGGUGUCGUAUUUGCAUAUA